CCUACGGGAGGCAGCAGUGGGGAAUUUUGGACAAUGGGCGCAAGCCUGAUCCAGCAAUGCCGCGUGAGUGAAGAAGGCCUUCGGGUUGUAAAGCUCUUUUGUCAGGGAAGAAACGGUCUACUCUAAUACAGUGGGCUAAUGACGGUACCUGAAGAAUAAGCACCGGCUAACUACGUGCCAGCAGCCGCGGUAAUACGUAGGGUGCAAGCGUUAAUCGGAAUUACUGGGCGUAAAGCGUGCGCAGGCGGUUAUAUAAGUCAGAUGUGAAAUCCCCGGGCUCAACCUGGGAACUGCAUUUGAGACUGUAUGGCUAGAGUGUGUCAGAGGGGGGUAGAAUUCCACGUGUAGCAGUGAAAUGCGUAGAUAUGUGGAGGAAUACCGAUGGCGAAGGCAGCCCCCUGGGAUAACACUGACGCUCAUGCACGAAAGCGUGGGGAGCAAACAGGAUUAGAUACCCUGGUAGUCCACGCCCUAAACGAUGUCUACUAGUUGUCGGGACUUAAUUGUCUUGGUAAACGCAGCUAACGCGUGAAGUAGACCGCCUUGGGGGUAAGGUAGGUCGUUCGAGAAGUUAAACGUUAACGUAAGAAGUUAGAGGCGNGAGAGNGCGACGGACGACGACGAGGGAGGAGG
rnacentral:rRNA from 1 species